GGCAAACGAAGGAGAAGAGGAAAGAGAAGGUCUACAUGACAGGAGAUGUCACUGGAAGUGAGGGACGACAACAGAGGAGGAAAUUCAUCUGAAAGCUGCACAGAGUCCAGUAUCCGCUUGCUUGCUGGAGGGGGCAGCCUUGCUCUUUCCAGCCGGUCAGCCUGCGCUGGAGAAUAAAGUGCAUGAAGCAUA